CUAACUGGUCUACGAUCGGCCAGUGCGCCAUUAACAUUCUCCGCCUUGCUGGUCGAAGAAGAAUCGUCACUUCCGUUCGUAGAGUCCUUCGUAUCUACAAAAUUCAGAAGCAAGAAUAAUUCAAACUUUUACAAAACAACUCGUCCUGAGGCCCAGACGGUUCCCUCGACUUCGUACUGCUGCCAGAAUUGAAAGUUGCUCUGCCAUAGGAGCAGGAAGACUGACUGUUCUCUUCUCGAGCGAGCAUAGGGUGUGAAUCUGAACGACUCUGCGUGGGCGUCGCUGUUCGGGGUGGCUGCUGGUUUACUACGUUCGAUGUUGGUGUUCUUGGCCCUUGAACAAUUAAAUUUUGGAAACAUCGAAUUUCUGAAAGUGUUUGGAAAAAUUGUUUGGAGCAUCUCAAAAGUUCAAAUGUUAAUAUUACAAUUCAAGGAUUCGAAGAUCCGAAGAUCUAAAAAUUUAGAGAUCAUUUUUUGAAUUGAAAGUGUUUAGAAAAAUUCGAAUGUGAAUGUUAUAAUUCAAGAAUUCGCAGAAUCGGAGAUCCAAAGAUCUAAAUUUCUGAAAUACCAAGAUUCGAAGGCCCAAUUUUACUUAUAUACAUAUAUACAUGCACAGCUACCUACCAGCUGGAUGCAUUUUCAUGUAACCUUGAAGAGGGAGCUCAAGGCCGUUCGAAAUAGUCGUCGCAGACGUUGGUGUCGAUGGACUGACGAUGACAGGAGUCGGCGCUGGUACGAUCGAAUAAUUUGCCUCAAUGGGAUUAUUGGUGGUAGUGGUUGGGCUGGGUGUUACUGGAAAUUGUCCUGGUAGGAUCAAGGAAGUUAUUGGUCUUGCAGCCGGUGGCACCGAGUAAGCUUCGCUCAAAGGUCGUGGACGACAAUAAUCCUCCUUGUCGUUAUUGGUGUCGUUUACUGUGUUAGUCGUCGAUGGGUCCGCACCUGAAGAACAUUUCAAUCUCGUUCUUUCAACUACUCGAGACUAUCAAAACUGAAAUAUUAAUGUAAAAAAGAUACUCACUUGCCGCUUGAUCUGUGGUGGUCUCGCUAAUCACUUUCAAGUAGCUGUACAUGUUGGUGAACUCGUUCAUUUGCUGCGGCGCCGCGCACGAGGAUUCAAGGGAACGCCCGAAUCAUGCAAUUCAAAACUGAUUCAUGCUUUCAAUUGGAAGCACCGUCUACGGACCGUCUAUUUUCGGAGGAAAAAACAGACGAUGGAUCGUCCAUUGCGACAGCUGUCAAUUAGGAAUAGAGAAAUAUCGCGAAAGUACCGGUUCCAUUGGACUAAUUGUGACGUCGCUUUAAAGGCGAUGUUUUUGUACCAU